UUUUUUAUUUAUUUUUUAUUUUUUUAUUUAAAUAAUGAUUUAUUAUAUAUAUAAAUAACAAUGGCAUAACAGUCUUUUGCCACUUAAUGAAGAAGGUAUUUUUGAAAAUGUCUCAUUAGUGGUGGUAAAAAUGAAAAGUGGUAUCAUGAAAGUGGUAAACAUGUAAUUUCCCCUUAAUUAUAAUAAAAAUAAUUAUACUUAAGUUUGAAUCCUAAAGGAUAUAUGUGAUUCAAUAUACUCACAACAUGAUUAACUCAAGUAAUCCAACUUAUAUCUAAAACCAUAGAUUUAACUAUAAUAAGAAUAUAUAGUUUUAUAAUAAUAAUUUUUUUUAUAAAUGUAAAUUAUAGGAUGACUCAAAACAUAUUAACAAAUGAAACUAAAAUAUCAACCAACUGUUAUAAUUUAUUUCUUUUGUAAAAUUUAUAUAUAUGCAUGAAAUUGUAGAAUAUUAUCGUUAUAUUAACUUACAUAAUUUGGAAUCAGACACUUUUGUUUAUUUUAUAUUUCAUUCUAAGCACAAUAUAUCUUAAGUUAUACAUAAUCUUCUUAAAUAUAUUCAUAUAUCUAAGACAACAACCAAUGUAAAUGCAAAUAAGAAAAUUAUUCAUAUAUUAUAUUUAAAACAAAAAAAAUAUUAUAGUUGAAUUCAGAGAAAUAUAUGAAAUCAAAUAUACGCAAAUGAUAAUUAAAUCGACUAUAAAAAAUAACAAAACCAACUAGAUAUAACAUAUCUAAAAUCAUAUGUCUGAUUAAAGUAAUAUAAUAUUAUUAAUAAAAAAUUUGCUUACAAAUUAUAAAUUAAUUUAAAAUAAAUAACAAUCAAUUAUUAUAAUAUAUUUUUUUAUAAAUAUUUAUAUCCGUGCAUGAGCACGGAAAAAUCACCUAGUUAUAUGUAUUUAGGUAUCACGAAUAAUAUUUUGUAAUAGUCAGAUUUGAUAUUUAACAACAAAAAUAUUCCUUUUUCACUUUUCUAAUUACUUGACAAAUUAUGCCAUUAAUAAACUGAGGGAAAAAAAUACUUCUCAUAAUUUUGUGAAGCACGCUUAAUGCAUUUGCUUCGAUGACAAUCUAUAUUAAUCAUAUAACUAUGGCUGUCAAAAAAAAAUCAUAUAACUAAACUUUAGUAUUUUAAGGUUGUGUUUUGCAUAUGCUGAUUUCUAGGUUCUAACGAUUUCAGUGAAUGCUCAUACAGAUAAUUACUAUUUGAAUCGGAGUAUUUACAAGAUGAUUAUGGGUUUAGGAUAGAUUAUUGUGAGAAUAUAAAAUUUUACAAUUAGAAGUUUAACUAAGACAUGAAUAAUAUAUAAAAAAAAUUAAAAUCAACUCUUUUAUUAUUAAUUGAUUUUAAAUUGAAAACACAUAAUAAAUCUGAAUUUAAUAUACUAACAAAACUAUAUUAGGACUAAUCCAUUUAGAGCAAUCUUAUGGGUUGAUAUUGCAUUGGGAUAUCCAAAACUAAAAAAUAUUGUUAGUUUAAUCUGUUUUGUCUAAAAAAAAUUAAUUUUAUUUUUAAAUUAAUUCAGUUGGAGAAAAAUAUAUGGCCAUGUCUAUACUAUUAAAAGAAAAUCAUUUUCAAAAUCUAUUUAAAAAAUAUUGUUCGACCUUUUUAUUAACUAAUUAUUUUUUGGUUAUAUCUAAUAUUUUUCUAAUUAUCUUUACUUAUACGGUAAAAUUAAUGUUGCUACCGAUUCAUAUGCAUUUAAUAGUAUAACACAUUAAACCUUUUAUAAAUAUGUUGAUGACAGUAGCAAUCACUUAUGUCCUCAAGAGAUUCACAUACAUUUAAAGUAUAAUAACACAUCAGUAAGUACCAAUUCAUAUACGUUUAAUAAUAUUACACAUCAAAUAAAUACCAUUUAUAUAUACGAUAGCAAUGGCUUCUAUUUCCAGCCAAGAUCUAUAACUUCUGGUUUUUCUUCUUCUCCCUACCUCAUUAACAGACAGCAAAUUAUUAAUCAAACCACCUAAAACAUAGCCUUCAAAUCUCAAAAUUUAAAAUUUAACCAACGAACACCAUAGCUUCUUCUCAAAAUUAUUUAACUAAUUUGAUACCAAAUUAGGACUUUGGCUAAAAAAAAUUAUUAUUAUAAAAUUAAUUUUUUUAUAAAAUAAAGAAAAUAUAAAAUUUUAAAAUAGAUUAACACUAAUAAAAAUAAAAUAAUAUUGAAUUAUAAAAUAUUUUUAUUUUUUAAUCACUAUUUCUACAUUUUAUUUAUUGGUACAUGAAAAAUUUUAUCAAAAAUUAAGAAUCACAAAUCAAAUAGUUUAUUGGACUUUAUUUAUACUAUUAAAAAAAUCAUUCUAAAAUCAACUGUAAAAAAGUUGUUGCACUUAUAUAUAACAAUUUAUUAUUAUUUCAAAAUUGUAAAUAUUUGAAAUGAAUCAUAUUAAUACUCCUUAUUUCAUAUGAUUCACUUCUUCUUUACAAUAUUUUUAUCACUUAAUAUUAUGUAGGUCCAUAUUGGGUUUGGAUAGGUUAUUUUGGAUCCGGAUCAGUUCGAGUCUAUAAUUCAAAAUAAAUUUUGGUACAUAAUGGAUAUGGGUCAGUUUGGGUAUUUAGAAUCAGAAAAUAUUCAAAGUAUUCGAAAAUCUGAAAAACCAAAACACAAGAAUCUAAAUAAAUACCUCAAAAUAUUCAAAUACUCAAAAGCCCAAAAUUUUAUACGAGGAACCAAAAAUAUCCAAAGUUUUAUUCUAAUAGUCGAAAUAUAAUUUUAAAAUUUUGGAAUUUUACUGAAGCCCGAAAUUAUAACCAAAAAUCCAAAUCUAAAAUCUAAAAAACUCUAUAAUACUGAAAACAUAUACAGAAUAUCCAAAUAUACAUAAUAUACACAAAACAUUUCAGGUACUUUGGGUAACUGGACUCGAAUAAAGACCUGCAGGUCCAAAAACAAAACUCAGUAUGUAGUUUCCUCGAUCCCAAACAUGUAUUUUCGUGUUGGUUUCGGUUCAGUUUUUGGAUCCAGGUAAAAUACAUGUGCCGUUGUCUCUUACUUUCUCUUCCUAUCUCUCUCUAUUUUCUUUUCCAAAAUCUAAUUUCUCUUUUUUUUUUUUGUUAUUUAGCAAAAAAAAAAGCCCAAAAGUAAACCGGAAGGUAAUUUUUCUAUUUUCAUGGAUAAUAUCAAUAGCGAACAGAUGAUCCUGUCGGAAAUUGGUCGUUUAGAUGAUAGACAGCUAAAAAUUGGGAGCACCACCUGAAGACAAAGAAGAUAGAUAGUUCACAGCCCUCCAAUAAAUAUAAGCCACGUAUCACUGACUGCUAAGCGUCGCCGUGUGAUUGGACUUUUAUGAUAUAGGUUAAUCUUGUGAUAUCGACUCUUAUGUGGCUACUUGCUUUAUUUGUGGCAUUCUAUAAAACACGCAGUAACAUUUUUUUUUUUUUUUUUUCAGAAAAAUUUAUAGCGACUUGUAGAUUUUAGAGUUUUCUUUUUGGGCAGUGAAAGUAUACAGCGGCAUGAGCGUGUUAAAUGGUGCGGAACUGAAUAAUAGUUUCCAUUCACAAUAGUUUUAUAAUUUAUGCUCAAUCGCACUUGAUAAGAUUUUAUUGAACCGCACUUAUAACUAUAACACACCAAUUAUGUCGUGAGUUUAAUUAUUAUAGUGCGGUACAACAUAAAAAUAUAUUUUAAUUUUUUUCUUCUAAAAACUAAAAAACAGUGAAUAUCAUUUGUAUUUAUUAAUUCAGUUUUAUUUGAGGCAAAAUAUUUAACUAAAUUAUAAUUUUAUUUUAUUAUUUAAAGAUAUAUUAUAUAAUGCAGUUAACUUUGUUACCAUUCAAACUUUAUUAGAAACUGAUUUUUUUAUGUUAACUGCUUAUGUUCUACAAUAUGUGUUUUUCUUAUAAAACCACACUUGAACCGUACCACAUCAUAUUAUCCGUUUUAUCCGCACUGCUCAACUUACUGUAAUCAUUCGGAGCCUUGGUUUUGAAUAUCUGAUUUAUUGUCUAUUCAAGAUUAUUUUAAUGGUUUUUCUCAAGAUUAGAAAACUUGUGUUUGUGUAUUUUCACCAAUUAUCCAAGAAAAAUUAUAAACCGUAUUUGCUUGGGGGAUUUUAUCUUCAAAAUCAGCAUGGUCCACAAAAGUUUUUUUUAAUUAUUAACUUGAAAAUUCAAAUGGAUUGAAAACAAUGAUAUAUAUUCAUAUUUAUGAGUUUUGUUUACAUAAUUAUUGAAGUCUGAUAUUAUUUUGCAACUUUUGAACAAUUAAAUCCAUCUCGCCGAAGAUAAAAAUGUAAACCUAUAAGUGGUCGAUUAAUUUUUUCUAAAACUAUGUAUAUGUAAUAUAAAUAACUAAACCACAAGAUAUAGUAUUUCUAGGAUUUAAGGGUAUUUAAAUAGGAAAUAGACAAAUAUAAAAGGUAAUCAUUUUAGAGAAUUCUUUAUAGUUUUAAUUUUUGGGGAUGUAUUGAAUUGAAAUUUGAAAUGAUUUAAUUUUUAAUGAGUCUUUAGAUGAUUGUAGAUGAAUCUGAGAAUUUAGUGUGAUUUUUGUUAAAUAACUUAAAUUUUGUUCAAUAACGGUAGAUUUCAAAGUGUUUUUGAAAUGACAAUUUCAAUAAUACUGAAUUUUAAAGUGUUUUUCAAAAUCUACAUUUGAAUAACAGUAAUUUUUUUAUUUUAGUACAAAUUACUUUAAACUCUUAGUUGAAUAUAUCUCCUGUAGUUUCUUGUUAUAUAGAAAAGUAUAGAGCAUGGAUAUUUUAGUCUUUGUUUACGUUUUGUUUAGAUUUUGGUAUCUAAAUAUUUGUUUAUGUCCAGGUUUUAAAAGUUUGUGAAGCACAUCUAUAUAUGUAUGUGGCAUUGUUAUAAAAUAAGAAUUUAGGUCAUUCAUAUACGUAGACCAAAUAUAAUUUUCCACUUUUUCUGAUAUUAAAAUGAAGACCUAGCUUGUACCAAAUUGACUAUUUCACUAGUUUUAUAUUUUAGCAAGAACAAAAUUUUAUAAAAGAUAUAACAGAAAUAUACGUUAAAAGGAAGACAUAUAUACAAAAGCUAACAGAAGUGAUUGGUUUAGCUCUAGAUGCUUUUUGACAGCCAAAAUAUAGUUUAUAACCAUAUAUAUAUAUCAACCAAUUAAACUUUUAUCUUGUUAAAAAAAAGAGCAAAUUAGCUCAAUAUACUUAAAAGGGUGAGAUACCAUACAAAUGGGAGAAAAUGGUAAUGAUGGGGGAAGAAAAUUGGAGGGAUUUAGGGUAUAGAAUGCAAAUAGGGGAUACUUGGUGUGUAGAGAGUACAAAUUCUCUAUAAAAAAAAUCAACAGAAAGAAAUAAAAAGGCUACAAAGAGCUUUAUUUUCCAGAGUAAAAAUUAGUUAUUUACAAAGUUACAUCAAACAAAAAUUACAGAAAAUAAAUUUACACUUUAAAUUUUAUAGCAAAAAACAUAAAAUUACGAUUCAUUCCGGUCAUCUCCAAGAUGUCCAAAAAUUGAUGUUGAUACUUUAUACAGAGAGUGUUGCUGGAAGCCAUCUUCAAGUAGAAUAUAAUUUCUUUUCAUUAUUUCUUACGUAUAUUCGUUAACUAAUUAAGCACACAUGCCACAAAUUAAACAACCUUAAUCAAGUUUUUUUGUUAAUUAUCAAAGUAAUAAACCCUAAACACAUAAGCAUUGAUGUUUGGAACAGUUGAAACCUAUCCUACCGAUUCGAGACUCGAGCAGCUAUGAACCAGUCAUCUGUAGUUGUAACAAUGAUUAGUAUAUUAUAGCCGCGUAUGUCAGCUCCUCUUCUGGAUAAAAUCAUAUUUAAGAUAACAAUGAUUUUCCAUAUUGACGAAGCGAGAUAUAAAGUUGAAAUGGCAAAUAUAGCUUUGGAAUAGUACAAGUUGUAUACGCAACUCCAAGAUAAACUUCAAUUUUCACGUGCUGUAAAAGAUGAAAGCAGUUAUUCAACAACUUGGUCAACUGGGUAUUAUGAACACACCAAUUGGCAAAGCGGAAAAGUGAGAUUAAGUGAAGCAUAUCGUCAUCUUCAAAUAUUAGUGGUUUCUGAGUCAUUUUCUAUAACUAGGUCAAGAUUCAAUAACCAAACAAUAUAAUAAGAUUAAUCAACCAAAUAAACAAGUGGUUUUAGUUUCUAAGAUCCUCUAUAGGAUCAUUUAAAAAAAUGUAACAUUUAGUUUUUACUAAAUUUAAAGAGACUCUACUAAGGUAUCACUUAAUUACUAUGAUAAUUUAGCUUACGUGACAGCUAGGGAUGUUGUCAUGGGCAAAAAAACCCGGCCCGGCCCGAACCCAAACUAAACCCGCCCAGAAAAUACCCUAAACUAUAAAACCCGAAAAAACCCGGUACUAUUAGGGUAACUCGCGAAAAACCCUAGAACUUUAGGGUUACCCACGGGUACCCGAAAAAACUCUUUUUUGAGUUUUGUGGUUUUUUAGUUAAAGUUUUAUAGUUUUAACUUAAAUUUAUAUGUAUUGAAUAUUUAAUUUUAAUCAUGUUUUGUAUUAAAUUUGAUUAAUUUUCAAUUAUCAAAUUUAUUUUCUGUAUAAAGUAACAAAUAAAAUUUUCAUCAUUCAUAAUUUUCAAUUUGCAAAUUUAUACUAUAUCCAUAAUGUAAGUAAAUAAAUAAGUUAUAGAAAGUGCAAAAUUUAAUAGUGGGCAUUGUAUGUUUUGAUUUAUACAUCUAAUUUUUGAUUUCAAUCAUUUAAAUCCUUAAAAAUUAGGGUAAAAGUAGUCCUUUCAAUUAUAUAUAUAUAUAUAUUUAAAAACCCAUAGGGUACCCGAAACCCGAUAGGGUAAAACCCGAACGGGUAAUUUAUAAAUCAAGACCCGCCCAAAAUAAACCCGCGAAUUUUGAAAACUGAAUAUACGGGUUUUGGUUUUUAAAUUCCAACCGGGUUUAGGGUACCCUAUGGGUAAAAACCCAUUGUUAACAUCCCUAAAUACCACUAUUAAUUCUUGAAUUCCUUUUUAAUAAGACACGUAAAACAAGUCGUAUAAAGAGAUGAUAAUAAAAUAGCGAUGAUAAUAAAAACAAGUCGUAUAAAGAGAUGUAUGUAUGAACUAACCAUGGGAAUUUUAAUAUCACAUUCUGUAAGGAGGUCAUAUGCAUUUCGGAGUAUAUCCAACAAUGCACCAUCUGGUGUCUGUAAGGAAAAAGAUAAAGUUGAAAAUUAGAUCAAUUACAUUUGAGUAAAUAAAUUAACGCAAUGAUACAAGAGAAUAAGACAAAGAAGGGCUACGCAAGUGGUAA